AUUGAACGCUGGCGGCAGGCCUAACACAUGCAAGUCGAAUGGUAACAGGAAACUUCUUGCUGUUUCGCUGGCGAGAGGCGGACGGGUGAGCAAUGACUGGGCAACUGCGUGGUGGAGGGGGAUAACUACUGGAAACGGUUACUACUUCCGCCUAGCGUCACAAAAUCGAAGAGGGUGGGACUCGGGCCUCUUGCCAUCAGCUGUGCCCGGUUGGGAUUAGUUAGUAGGUGGGGUAACGGCUCACCUAGGUGACGAUCUCUAGCUGGUCUGAGAGGAUGAUCAGCCACACUGGAACUGAGACACGGUCCAGACUCCUACGGGAGGCAGCAGUGGGGAAUAUUGGACAAUGGGCGCAAGCCUGAUGCAGCCAUGCCGCGUGUAUGAAGAAGGCCUUCGGAUUGUAAAGUACUUUCAGCGGGGAGGAAGGGAGGAAAGUUAAUACCUUGGCUUAUUGACGUUACCAGCAGAAGAAGCACCGGCUAACUUCGUG
rnacentral:rRNA from 1 species